rnacentral:rRNA from 1 species
UACGUAGGGUGCAAGCGUUAAUCGGAAUUACUGGGCGUAAAGCGUGCGCAGGCGGCUUUGCAAGACAGAUGUGAAAUCCCCGGGCUCAACCUGGGAACUGCAUUUGUGACUGCAUGGCUAGAGUGCGGCAGAGGGGGAUGGAAUUCCGCGUGUAGCAGUGAAAUGCGUAGAUAUGUGGAGGAAUACCGAUGGCGAAGGCAGCCCCCUGGGAUAACACUGACGCUCAUGCACGAAAGCGUGGGGAGCAAACAGG